UAGAAGUCCAAUGGCAUUAUAUCAAAAAAAACGGGGUAAUGACGAAAUGCGAACUGAGGGUAUACCAAAAAGAACGAGAUAACGAUGAAAUGCAAACUAGGGGUAUCCUACUUGGCCUUGGCUGCCUCGUUGGCUGCUUCAGGGGUAGCAGCACUCCCCGAUGGAUUGAGCUCAUCCCAAGCCUCAAUCCAGGUGAGCAUGGCAUCUGCUAGCUUGGUGAAGUAAGGAUCCACCUUACCGAG
rnacentral:misc_RNA from 1 species